GGGGUCAUUGGGCUGCCUUAGAUUCCCCCCCCCACCUCUCAGCCUGCUGCCUCUGGACAAAGCUCUGCAGAGGAGCCCCAUCUCCUUCAGCCCCCUCCUGCCUUUGGGGUGCAAGUUUCCUGAAGGACUUGAGUGAGAUGUCACCAAGCAACAGGCUGUCAGGCUCUUGGCAGCAAGUACUGGCCCAGCGACUCGCGGCAGAGUCUCUCCUUGGGGCGUCUGUCCUUAUCAGGGGUGGAUGCUGUCAGACUUGCUAAUGGUGGAAUUUCUGGCAUGUGGCAGGGCCAAGUGCAGUGGCUCACACCUAUAAUCCCAGCACUUUGGGAGGCUGAGGCACGAGGAUUGCUUGAGCCCAGGAGUUCAUCACCAGCCUGGGCAAUAUAGCCAGACCCGGUCUCCACAAAAAAAUUUUUAAAAAUUAGCUGGGCAUGGUGGCCUGUGCCUGUAGUCCCAGCUCUUUGGGAGACUGAGGCAGGAGGAUCAACUUGAGCCCAGAAGGUCGAAGCUGCAGUAAGCCAUGGUCAUGCCAGCGGAGUUGAGCCUGGACCACAGAGCAAGACACUAUAGGGAAGACAGCCAGGUGAAAAUGAAGGCAGAGACCA
rnacentral:lncRNA from 10 species